GUGACUGUAGCUCAAUGGCAGAGCACUCGGCUGUGGCCCGAGGUGUUGUGGGUUCGAGCCCCACCAGUCACC
rnacentral:tRNA from 1 species